GUCUGUGGCCACGUCACCCUGAACAAGCCGGAUGUCUGAUCUGGGAAGCUAAGCAGGGUCGGGCCUGGUUAGUACUUGGAUGGGAGACCACCUAGGAAGACCAGGUGCUGUAGGCA
rnacentral:rRNA from 1 species